rnacentral:rRNA from 1 species
AUGUGUAUUCCCAAGAAAGAAGGGGGUAUGGGCUUCAGAGAUAUUUACUGCUUUAAUCUUGCACUUCUGGCAAAACAGGCAUGGCGCCUUAUUGACAACCCGGACUCUUUGUGUGCGUUGAUCCUUAAGUCAGAAAACAAUUGA